rnacentral:misc_RNA from 1 species
AUCCCAAUACUAUUUGUCUGAUAAUACAAUAGACCUUGCAUCAAUUGAAACGUAGAAUGAGCAUGGCUAUCCAAUGACAGUUGAGUAAUUGAUUCUGUUGCUUUAGGAUUAUUGGCAUAACUAUCAAGCACAUUAGUCAUCCAAGUAGGAACUACUAGGAUUGUGCACAGUUCUUGGGAUCUCAAACCGAACCGAAGAAUCAUACCAAACUGAUA